rnacentral:rRNA from 1 species
GAUGAACGCUGGCGGCGUGCCUAAUACAUGCAAGUCGAGCGAACGGACGAGAAGCUUGCUUCUCUGAUGUUAGCGGCGGACGGGUGAGUCACACGUGGAUAACCUACCUAUAAGACUGGGAUAACUUCGGGAAACCGGAGCUAAUACCGGAUAAUAUUUUGAACCGCAUGGUUCAAAAGUGAAAGACGGUCUUGCUGUCACUUAUAGAUGGAUCCGCGCUGCAUUAGCUAGUUGGUAAGGUAACGGCUUACCAAGGCAACGAUGCAUAGCCGACCUGAGAGGGGGAUCGGCGACACUGGAACUGAGACAGGGUCCAGACUCCUACGGGAGGCAGCAGUAGGGAAUCUUCCGCAAUGGGCGAAAGCCUGACGGAGCAACGCCGCGUGAGUGAUGAAGGUCUUCGGAGCGUAAAACUCUGUUAUUAGGGAAGAACAUAUGUGUAAGUAACUGUGCACAGCUUGACGGUACCUAAUCAGAAAGCCACGGCUAACUACGUG